AUAGUUGUUAGCGAUUAUGACUAUGACGAAGAUUAUGAAGAUUAUGGAGAUUAUGAGUAUUACGACGACUACUUCUCUCCUCUUGGUUAUGGUUUCUUCAAUGACGACGGGCUUGGGUUUUUUGAACUCGACCAUUUCUGAGUAUGGCAGAUGGUUUGCUGGAUAAGUUGAUUUCAAGUGAUUAUAUCAGCAUGUUAGAGCUUUCAUUUUAUCAAUAGACCCUUUUAUCUUUUAUUAGCAAGCUUAUGACUCUGCCUUCAUUUUGACUAUUCUUGCUUUUGUUGUUCAUUUUAGAUGGCUUUGUAUCAACCUCUUUCUACUACC